UACGUAGGGUGCGAGCGUUGUCCGGAAUUAUUGGGCGUAAAGAGCUCGUAGGCGGCUUGUCACGUCGGGUGUGAAAGCCCGGGGCUUAACCCCGGGUCUGCAUUCGAUACGGGCUAGCUAGAGUGUGGUAGGGGAGAUCGGAAUUCCUGGUGUAGCGGUGAAAUGCGCAGAUAUCAGGAGGAACACCGGUGGCGAAGGCGGCUCUCUGGUACGUGACUGACGCUGAGACGCGAAAGCGUGGGGAGCAAACAGG
rnacentral:rRNA from 1 species